rnacentral:lncRNA from 1 species
CCGGCCGGGGGGGCGUGGGAUCGUGUGUUUCCAUGGCCUCGUGCGUGAUUUCUUCUGUGUGUACUGCUCAGGAGGAGUUGCCAGGUGAAAAUGACUUUUGCUGCUGAACCUCGUUCCUGGCGCCCAGGUGGCUGGAACUACUGCGGUCUUUGUGUCCUCCCAAGAGGUCUGGCCCUGAGGCUGCUUCAGGAUGGGGCAGUCGCCUUGGCAGGAGGCCAUCAGCGGCGUGCGGCUGGAUCUCUGCUGUUCCGAUGCUACUGCGGCCCUGCGUCCUGCUGACAGUUUCGUCUGCGGGUGGGUGAACAUGGGAGAGUGCUGUGAUCGGCAUGCCCUUACCUGAGUGUUCUUGGAGCAGAGGAGCUAUGAAAUGCUGCCAGUCUUGUGUCCUCCUGUGAGCUCCAGGCCUGUCAGUGGCUGGGAACGGGGAGUUCUCGUGGGAGGUCAGCCUGCAGCUGCAUGUGGUGGUGGAUUCCUUGCUCCAGAGGUGCCUUGGAGCUGUGACAAGGACUGUGUCAUGACCUCUAUGCCUGAAUAUAGGUGGCCGAGGAUGGGACAGUUGCCCUGUUGGGCGAGCCUCAGCUGGGUGUUCCUGUUUCCUGUGACCUGGAGGAGCCGUGGAGCACCGCGAGCCUGUGUCUUCCCCACCAGCCUGUGGGCAGCUGAGCACACAUGAGUCGACAUGGCAGAUGCAACUUGAGCUGUGGGUGCGCUUGAUUCCUGGGGGCCAGAUGAACCUUGGAGAUUGCAGCAGGCCUUGGGUCCCCCAUGAUUGCUGAGCCUGUGUGUAGUUGAGGUUUGUAAGCAUUUCUUUCUGCAGCUUGUAGAUGUAUUGCUGAAG